rnacentral:rRNA from 1 species
GACGAACGCUGGCGGCGUGCUUAACACAUGCAAGUCGAACGGAAAGGCCCUGCUUUUGUGGGGUGCUCGAGUGGCGAACGGGUGAGUAACACGUGAGUAACCUGCCCUUGACUUUGGGAUAACUUCAGGAAACUGGGGCUAAUACCGGAUAGGAGCUCCUGCUGCAUGGUGUGGGUUGGAAAGUUUCGGCGGUUGGGGAUGGACUCGCGGCUUAUCAGCUUGUUGGUGGGGUAGUGGCUUACCAAGGCUUUGACGGGUAGCCGGCCUGCGAGGGUGAACGGCCACAAUGGGACUGAGAGACGGACCAGACGCCUACGGGAGGCAGCAGUGGGGAGUAUUGCACAACGGGCGGAAGCCUGAUGCAGCAACGCCGCGUGCGGGAUGACGGCCUUCGGGUUGAAAACCGCUUUCGCCUGUGACGAAGCGUGAGUGACGGUAAUGGGUAAAGAAGCACCGGCUAACUACGUG